AAUCAAGUGGAGGACAAGUCUGGUGCCAGCACCCGCGGUAAUUCCAGCUCCACUAGCGUAUAUUAAAGUUGUUGCAGUUAAAAAGCUCGUAGUUGAACCUCUGUCUGGGGCUAGUUUUGGCUUUGGUCAGGCUAGUUCUAGGCAUCCGCCUACAAGACUUAGAGGGCAUUCAGUUGUUCACUAGGAGGAGUAGGCAUUUUACUUUGAAAAAAUUAGAGUGUUUAAGGCAGGCAAUCGCCCGCAUAUAUUAGCACGGAAUAAUAGAAUAGGACACUUUUCCAUUUCGCUGGUUAUUGGAAUCGUGUAAUGAUUAAUAGGGACAGUUGUGGGCAUUUGUAUUUAAUUGUCAGAGGUGAAAUUCUUGGAUUUAUUAAAGACAAACUAACGCGAAAGCAUUUGCCAAGGAUGUUUUCAUUAAUCAAGAACGAAAGUUAGGGGAUCAAAGACGAUCAGAUACCGUCCUAGUCUUAACUAUAAACUAUUCCGACUCAAUGUUUGACUGGCUUAUAUAACCAGUUGAGCGUUGUAUGAGAAAUCAAAGUCUUUAGGUUCUGGGGGGAGUAUGGUUGCAAAGCUGAAACUUAAAGGAAUUGACGGAAGAGCACAACCAGGAGUGGAUUCUGCGGCUUAAUUUGACUCAACACGGGGAAACUUACCAGGUUAAAACAAUAGUGGGAUUGACAGUUUGAGAGCGCUUUCUUGAUUGGUUGGGUGGUGGUGCAUGGCCGUUCUUAGUUGGUGGAGUGAUUUGUCUGCUUAAUUGCGUUAACGAACGAGACCUUAACCUGCUUACUAGACUGGCGAUCAUCAAUCGUUAGCUCUGCUUAGAGGGACUUUGGUUGUUUUAACUCCAAGGAAGUUUGAGGCAAUAACAGGUCUGUGAUGCCCUUAGAUAUCCUGGGCCGCACGCGUCAUACAAUGACUAGUUCAGAAAGUUUUCUCCUGACCCGAAAGGGGAUGGGUAAUCUUGAUAAUACUAGUCGUGUUAGGGAUCGAUCUUUGCAAUUAUAGAUCUUGAACGAGGAAUUCCUAGUAAGUGCGGUUCAUCAGACCGUACUGAUUACGUCCCUGCUCUUUGUACACACCGCCCGUCGCUUCUACCGAGUGGGUGGUCCGGUGAGAUAAUUGAACUUCGCAGGUAACUGAGAGGAAAGAUUAUCAAACCUAUCCACCU
rnacentral:rRNA from 1 species